AACGUAGGAGACGAGCGUUAUCCGGAGUUACUGGGCGUAAAGGGCGUGCAGGCGGCUGCGUAAGUCUGCUGUGAAAGCCUUCGGCUUAACCGGGGAAAGUCAGCGGAGACUGCGCAGCUAGAGCGUGACAGAGGUGUGUGGAAUUCCGGGUGUAGUGGUGAAAUGCGUAGAGAUCCGGAGGAACACCAGAGGCGAAGGCGGCACACUGGGUCACGGCUGACGCUCAGACGCGACAGCAUGGGGAGCGAAC
rnacentral:rRNA from 1 species